GACGAACGCUGGCGGCGUGCCUAAUACAUGCAGGUAGAACGCUGAAGGAGGAGCUUGCUCUUCUGGAUGAGUUGCGAACGGGUGAGUAACGCGUAGGUAACCUGCCUGGUAGCGGGGGAUAACUAUUGGAAACGAUAGCUAAUACCGCAUAAGAGUAGAUGUUGCAUGACAUUUGCUUAAAAGGUGCAAUUGCAUCACUACCAGAUGGACCUGCGUUGUAUUAGCUAGUUGGUGGGGUAACGGCUCACCAAGGCGACGAUACAUAGCCGACCUGAGAGGGGGUUCGGCACCCUGGGACUUGGACCACGGCCCAGCUCCCUACGGGAGGCAGAAGAGGGGAACUUUCGCCAAUGGACGGAGGCCUGACCGAGCAACGCCGCGUGAGUGAAGAGGGUUUCCGGACCGUAAAGCUCUGUUUUAAGGGAGAACGAGUGUGAGAGUGGAAAGUUCACACUGUGACGGUAUCUUACCAGAAAGGGACGGCUAACUACGUG
rnacentral:rRNA from 1 species